GCUCAGAUUCUGCGGUCUGAGC
rnacentral:misc_RNA from 1 species